GCACGCUCACACGUGUCCCCCCCCCCACCACCACCACCACCUUCUCUUCUCUUCUCUUCUUCGGCCCUCGCCGCAUGCGCACACGCACUGCGCGCGUGUAGGGGAGCAUUCUCAUACCUAACAGCCGCCGCCGCCCCCAUCACCACCACCACCUUCUUCUCCGUCGUACUCCACCCGCUUCAACGGCGACAGAACAGCGAAGGCGAAGACGAGAAAGAUGUUGCGGCGUAGCUUUUUCGUAUUGGCCCCGAGCAUCCCGCGGAGCGUCUGGGACCCGGCGCACUACAACGAGAACUGGGUGGACAGCUACAGCACCAGCAUUGCCGACCGCCGACACUGGCCAGCGAAGAAGUGGUCCAUCGGCCUCGAACCCCGCACCCCUCGUGAUUGGCUGCGCUUCUCUUACCGAAACCUUGCCUACGCCUACAACGGCGCGCUGCGUGCCUGUGCGACGUUUCCGGAGAUGCUCGUCUACUACAAGGAGAUGAAGCAGCGCGGGGUCAAGGUGGACGUGGACACGCUGAACGCGCUGCUCUCACGCGCGGCACGGUACGAGCACAUCCAAGUCGAUGAUGUGUUUCUUCUCUUCGACGAACUCACCGCCCUCGGUGCCCGUCCGGAUAUUGCGUCCGUGGAGACGCUGCACACGGUACUCGAGCACGCCGCGCAUCAGCCGCCGGAGUGGCGUGAGACGCGCCGUCGUCAGCUGGUGGAGCUGUACCAGUAUCUUGCGUUGGAGGAGAUCGAGCGCCUCGCCCCGCAUCGCGUCGAUGCGUUGUUGUCUGCGCAGAUUGCGCGUCUGCGAGGAAACCUCAAGCAACUCAACGCGAGCCUCAGCCCAUCCGUGUACCGGCGCUACUUCGCGGUCAUCGACCUCGGUGAGACACUGAUCCAGGAGGUCCACAACUUUUUGUGGGAGUACGUCGGCGCCGAUCACGCCGCGAUGGAUGUUCCGUCGCUGCAGCUUCGCAUCCCCUUCGUGGCCUCCGUGAUGAAGCGGCCGCUGGCGACGGCAGACCCUGCCCAGGUGAAGGCGACCGACUUUGAGGACACGGACGUGUGUAGCGUGCUACUGGCCGCGGUGGAGCGCUGCGUCGACGGAGACUUUCACGACAGACGGCCUGUGUCUGAGCGGCGCAUGUAUCUCGCCUUGCUGACCAUGCUCACCUCCAGUGGCGUCCUGUACUCAGCCGAUCUCAUGGCGCAGAUGAUGGAUGUUGUGAAGUACUCGCGCGACGAUCGAGGACGUGACCGCGAUGCGCAGCGGCUGCUGCGGUACGCCCUGCGCGGGUCCUCAGCAGCCGACGACGCCGCUUACCGCGAGCUGUGGCGGGCUGUGGCGCCUCCCGUGGAUGCGCGGGUGGUGGGACGGUACCUGGCAAGCAGGGACCCGUGGUCACCGGUGCAUAUCUGUUAUGACCGCAGUUUUCAAUUUCGAGCGUUCCCGGAGCUGCAGCAGAUCACCCAAAGCCAAAGCAGCGGCAGCAGCACCGACACCCCAGCGGCAGCGGCGUCGACGGCUGCCGGGGCAGGCAGCUCCUCUACCGCUGCGGCGGCCGCCGAACCAGAAAAAGCGUUAGAAGGCGUGAGCGCCGGCCUCCCCCCCAGCACCGUAGCCGCCAAGACGGCGGAGGCGCUGCAGCAGCGCUGGGACGAUGUGCGCAAAUUGAUCGACAUAACAGGCGUUCUCAAGCUGGGCGCGGGUCUGAAAAGUGCAAGAGCCGGCUCCGCCGCGCCAACGCAGGAGGCGGCGCAGCAGGCGAUGGAGGUCUUCACCGGCGCGGCGGCGUUCCUACGCGGGGUGGCCACAGGCUGCCGCUACGGUGAGUUGGCGGACGCGCUAGCAAUUCAAGCAGUAGGAGAUGGGCAACAGCAGCAGCACCACGCGCCACGUGCGACGUCGUUCGGAGGCGCAGCAGCCACAGCAGGUGCCGCGCGUAGCAGCAGCAGCAAUGCGAGCACAGAACUGUACGCCGGCGGCCUCGAGUUUGAUGUCUGGCAUCGACUCCUGCAGUGCGUGCAGCAGCUGCGUCAGGACAUGGAGCAGUUCAUGGCUCAGCAGUACGAGGCGCAUGGUCUGCAGGUGGAGCCGGAGUUCGAGUGCUGGGAAGCUAUGCUCGUGGUGCUGCGCUGCAUCUUGGACUUCUGCCUUGUGCACACGCAGCAAUACGGCCGUACGGCAGGCGGUGGCAUGGCAGAGAAUCUCUUCCAGGAGUCUGCGCAGCUGCGCGCGCAGUUGGUGGAGGAAAGCCGCACCCGCUUCAAUGGCCGCAUGCGCAUCUUGUGGCUGCAGGAGGUUUAGGCUGCCGGUCUGUAAAACCACUGUUGCUGUGGUGACGACAUUGGGCCCAUUCACGUGCUUGCCAGGGCCACCAGCAGCGCGCGCGCACUCCACCGCCAUUCUUAGGCUCCGUUUUGUGUGUCUGUCCGUCUCUGUGUGUGUGUAUGUUGAUAACGUGCAAUGGCGAUGAUCAUGAUCUUGAGUGUGCUUAAUCUCUCUCUCUCUGUACGUGUGUGCGUGCGCGCGCACGCAGGGCGCAUAUCCGCCGCCCUUGCGGAAUCCUUCACCGCGCUGCACUACACUUUUUGAGGAAGCUCG
rnacentral:misc_RNA from 1 species